UGCAAGCGUUAAUCGGAAUUACUGGGCGUAAAGCGCACGCAGGCGGUCUGUCAAGUCGGAUGUGAAAUCCCCGGGCUCAACCUGGGAACUGCAUUCGAAACUGGCAGGCUAGAGUCUUGUAGAGGGGGGUAGAAUUCCAGGUGUAGCGGUGAAAUGCGUAGAGAUCUGGAGGAAUACCGGUGGCGAAGGCGGCCCCCUGGACAAAGACUGACGCUCAGGUGCGAAAGCGUGGGGAGCAAACAGGAUUAGAUACCCUGGUAGUCCACGCCGUAAACGAUGUCGAUUUGGAGGUUGUGCCCUUGAGGCGUGGCUUCCGGAGCUAACGCGUUAAAUCGACCGCCUGGGGAGUACGGCCGCAAGGUUAAAACUCAAAUGAAUUGACGGGGGCCCGCACAAGCGGUGGAGCAUGUGGUUUAAUUCGAUGCAACGCGAAGAACCUUACCUGGUCUUGACAUCCACAGAACUUUCCAGAGAUGGAUUGGUGCCUUCGGGAACUGUGAGACAGGUGCUGCAUGGCUGUCGUCAGCUCGUGUUGUGAAAUGUUGGGUAAAGUCCCGCAAACGAGCGCAACCCUUAUCCUUUGUUGCCAGCGGUUAGGCCGGGAACUCAAAGGAGACUGCCAGAGAUAAACUGGAGGAAGGUGGGGAUGACGUCAAGUCAUCAUGGCCCUUACGACCAGGGCUACACACGUGCUACAAUGGCAUAUACAAAGAGAAGCGACCUCGCGAGAGCAAGCGGACCUCAUAAAGUAUGUCGUAGUCCGGAUUGGAGUCUGCAACCCGACUCCAUGAAGUCGGAAUCGCUAGUAAUCGUAGAUCAGAAUGCUACGGUGAAUACGUUCCCGGGCCUUGUACACACCGCCCGUCACACCAUGGGAGUGGGUUGCAAAAGAAGUAGGUAGCUUAACCUUCGGGAGGGCGCUUACCACUUUGUGAUUCAUGACUGGGGUGAAGUAGUAACAAGGUAACCAAUCGA
rnacentral:rRNA from 1 species